GAUGAACGCUGGCGGCGUGCCUAAUACAUGCAAGUCGAGCGAACGGACGAGAAGCUUGCUUCUCUGAUGUUAGCGGCGGACGGGUGAGUAACACGUGGAUAACCUACCUAUAAGACUGGGAUAACUUCGGGAAACCGUAGCUAAUACCGGAUAAUAUUUUGAACCGCAUGGUUCAAAAGUGAAAGACGGUCUUGCUGUCACUUAUAGAUGGAUCCGCGCUGCAUUAGAUAGUUGGUAAGGUAACGGCUUACCAAGGCAACGAUGCAUAGCCGACCUGAGAGGGUGAUAGGCCACACUGGAACUGAGACACGGUCCAGACUCCUACGUGAGGCAGCAGUAGGGAAUCUUCCGCAAUGGGCGAAAGCCUGACGGAGCAACGCCGCGUGAGUGAUGAAGGUCUUCGGAUCGUAAAACUCUGUUAUUAGGGAAGAACAUAUGUGUAAGUAACUGUGCACAUCUUGACGGUACCUAAUCAGAAAGCCACGGCUAACUACGUG
rnacentral:rRNA from 1 species